rnacentral:rRNA from 1 species
UUCGAUGGAAAGCUGGUUAAUAUUCCAGCACUUGUUUCUGCUGCGAUGGGGUGACGGAGAAGGUUAGGCAAUCCACCUGUUGGAUGGUGGUUUAAGCGUUUAGGAGUGCCCGGUAGGCAAAUCCGCUGGGAUUAUCUGAGACGUGAUGACGAGGCUCUUUGAGCUGAAGUUGCUGAUACCCCGCUUCCAAGAAAAACCUCUAAGCUUCAGGCAGAUACGAGCCGUACCCCAAACCGACACAGGUGGGCGAGGAGAGUAUCCUCAGGCGUUUGAGACAACUCGGGAGAAGGAACUCGGCAAAUUAGAACCGUAACUUCGGGAUAAGGUUCGCCCACGCAAGUGGGCCGCAGUGAAGAGGGGGUUGCGACUGUUUAUCAAAAACACAGCACUCUGCAAACACGAAAGUGGACGUAUAGGGUGUGACUCCUGCCCGGUGCUGGAAGGUUAAUUGAUGGGGUCAGCCGCAAGGCGAAGCUCUUGAUCGAAGCCCCAGUAAACGGCGGCCGUAACUAUAACGGUCCUAAGGUAGCGAAAUUCCUUGUCGGGUAAGUUCCGACCUGCACGAAUGGAGUAACGAUAGCCCCACUGUCUCCUUCCGAGGCUCAGUGAAAUUGAAAUCGCUGUGACGAUGCAGUGUUCCCGCGGCAAGACGGAAAGACCCCGUGAACCUUUACUAUAUCUUUACAUUGGAUUUUGAGUUUGUUUGUGUAGGAUAGGUGGGAGGCAUUGAAACCUGGACGCUAGUUCAGGUGGAGCCAACCUUGAAAUACCACCCUGAUAAACUCGGAAUUCUAACCUCGACCAGUCAUCCUGGUCAGGGACAAUGUAUGGUGGGUAGUUUGACUGGGGCGGUCUCCUCCCAAAGAGUAACGGAGGAGUGCGAAGGUCAGCUCAGCGCGGUCGGAAAUCGCGCUCUUGAGUGCAUAGGCACAAGCUGGCUUGACUGCGAGACAGACGAGUCGAGCAGGUACGAAAGUAGGUCUAAGUGAUCCGGUGGUUCUGUAUGGAAGGGCCAUCGCUCAACGGAUAAAAGGUACUCCGGGGAUAACAGGCUGAUACUGCCCAAGAGUCCAUAUCGACGGCAGUGUUUGGCACCUCGAUGUCGGCUCAUCACAUCCUGGGGCUGUAGCAGGUCCCAAGGGUCCGGCUGUUCGCCGGUUAAAGUGGUACGCGAGCUGGGUUCAGAACGUCGUGAGACAGUUCGGUCCCUAUCUGCCGUGGGCGUUCGAGAUUUGAGAGGAGUUAACCUUAGUACGAGAGGACCGGGUUGAACGUAUCUCUGGUGUUCCAGUUGUCACGCCAGUGGCAUCGCUGGGUAGCGAAAA